rnacentral:misc_RNA from 1 species
GUAUCCUAUGCUUGGUUGGAUAUUGUUUGUAUGGUUUAAUAAAAAGCAAUAGGACAUCAGGCCUUGACAAGGUGAGCAUCAACAUCCUUGACAACGCUAACCAAAAUGUCCAGGUACUUACUUGGAGGUGGAUCAUCAGCCUUUAAUUUCUCAUAUUCAACACAUAUUUUCACCAACCCUCCAUCACCAGUUGGAAUAACCCGGAGAAUAGCCUUGUAGCUCUUGUAUUGUUCCAGAACAUGUCCUUCAACUGCUGUAAAAGUUAUCGUCUUAUUCGCCUCAUCUACAUCCGCCUUCUCCUUGAAAUAUUCAGGAUUCCCUUCUAGGGUAUAUUUCCAAAUCUUGGUAGAGCCCGGAGUCUCCCAAUCACCUUCAUGAACCUCAACUGCGUGAAUACUAUCAGAGGCAUUGGGAACAUGGUGUGCUUGGCUGUAGAAGAUUUUGUAGAAAUUAUCAGCAGGGGCGUUGAGCUCUACAUCCGCCUCAAGUUUAUCAGCUUGAG